AUGAAGCUCAAGGAAGCAUUGCACUUUGGCUUCUGCUUUAAGUGGCGCCAUAGGCUAAUGCAUGGGUCUUCCUCGGCUGCCCGGGCGGCCUCCUUCGCUGAGGCAGGAAAAACGGCUUCUGCGGUUCCCUUGGAGUUUAAGAUCCUCAGACCAGCCCAUGGGAGCAGCAACAAAUACUGCGUAUGUACGGAGUGCACCAGGCACGAUGCUAAUGUGCUCGGCAUACGUUAUCUUUUUGGUUCUACAACAACCCAGUGGAGGAAGACUUCUCAAACACAAUUUAAGGAUGAGGAAAUGAAGGCACAGAGCAAUUAUUCAACUUGUCUAAGGCCACACGGCUACUAAGAAUCAUUGCCAGAAUGUAUCUCCAAUUUUAUUUGUCUCCGUUGCCAAGGUUUUGACCGCCAUGUGACGACGACGCCUUUCCUCUUUUCAUGGAUAUCCGGAGAGCACCUUGGACAGCCACCUAAGUCUUAUGACCACCCCUCCCAGUUUUGGAUCAUCAGAGCUGUUGUCAGAAUGUCUUCACGGGGGUCUCCCAACCUUCUAUUUUUCCUUUGAAGUUGGAAAAUCUACCUCCAGAUGUUGAAAGCUCAUAUCUAACUGAGCUAAUGAGAGUCCUCCAUUUUCCAAAAAGCUUAAGCUGCCACUUGCUUUUAGUUGCUAUUUUCUUAACUAACUAGUUUGUCCUGAUGGAUCAAAAUUAAGGGCUUUUGAUAAGGAGAACAGUUAUUCUAUUUUUUUUCAAACUUCUGGGAGAUGAAGCCACAUGAAGAAUUUAUUGUAUUGUUGUUCUUUGCUGACCUUACCCUGAUUUUACCACAUAAUAAAGUGCUUUGAGUUCUGCAUUCUACUGGUUACUUUGGGUUUUGUUUGUUUGUUCGUUGUUAACCACAACUGAACUUUAAGUCUGGGAAUAGUUUCCAAGUUUCUGGAAAUAGUAAGUGGCUCCCCUGUCCUUCUGAUGUUGCUAUAGAUCAGUUUUGAAGAGAAAUCCAACCUCAAAACCUUCUUUGAUUCCUCUAUCUCACUUG
rnacentral:lncRNA from 1 species